AAUCCAUAGGUUAAUGAGGCGAACCGGGGGAACUGAAACAUCUAAGUACCCCGAGGAAAAGAAAUCAACCGAGAUUCCCCCAGUAGCGGCGAGCGAACGGGGAGGAGCCCAGAGCCUGAAUCAGCAUGUGUGUUAGUGGAAGCGUCUGGAAAGGCGCGCGAUACAGGGUGACAGCCCCGUACACAAAAGCGCAUGUGCUGUGAGCUCGAUGAGUAGGGCGGGACACGUGGUAUCCUGUCUGAAUAUGGGGGGACCAUCCUCCAAGGCUAAAUACUCCUGACUGACCGAUAGUGAACCAGUACCGUGAGGGAAAGGCGAAAAGAACCCCGGCGAGGGGAGUGAAAAAGAACCUGAAACCGUGUACGUACAAGCAGUGGGAGCACAGGUUUACCUGUGUGACUGCGUACCUUUUGUAUAAUGGGUCAGCGAC
rnacentral:rRNA from 2 species